GAGGACCUUCCCGCUUAUCCCAUGACUGCUUAUGAGCUUUUAGUGUGGGACUUUGUCAAAGGCUUUCUGAAAAUCCAACUACACUGUAUCCACUGGAUUGUCCUUGUCCACAUGCUUGUUGACCCCCUCAAAGAAUUCUCAUAGAUUGAUGCUGUUGGAACACUUUGGGAGCAGAGCACAUGAGCAUAGUCGGAUAAUGUCUGCAGGUCAUCAUGCAUCCCACUGCAUGAUGACCUGC